rnacentral:rRNA from 1 species
UAGGGAAUCUUCGGCAAUGGACGGAAGUCUGACCGAGCAACGCCGCGUGAGUGAAGAAGGUUUUCGGAUCGUAAAGCUCUGUUGUAAGAGAAGAACGAGUGUGAGAGUGGAAAGUUCACACUGUGACGGUAUCUUACCAGAAAGGGACGGCUAACUACGUGCCAGCAGCCGCGGUAAUACGUAGGUCCCGAGCGUUGUCCGGAUUUAUUGGGCGUAAAGCGAGCGCAGGCGGUUAGAUAAGUCUGAAGUUAAAGGCUGUGGCUUAACCAUAGUAGGCUUUGGAAACUGUUUAACUUGAGUGCAAGAGGGGAGAGGUGGAAUUCCAUGUGUAGGCGUGAAAUGCGGAGAUUUAUGGAGGAACACCGGUGGCGAAAGCGGCUCUCUGGCUUGUAACUGACGCUGAGGCUCGAAAGCGUGGGGAGCAAACAGGAUUAGAUACCCUGGUAGUCCACGCUGUAAACGAUGAGUGCUAGGUGUUAGACCCUUUCCGGGGUUUAGUGCCGUAGCUAACGCAUUAAGCACUCCGCCUGGGGAGUACGACCGCAAGGUUG